rnacentral:rRNA from 1 species
AGUCGAACGAUCCCGCAAGGGAGAGUGGCGGAAGGGUGAGUAACACGUAGAAAUCUACCUCGCCGGAGGGAACAACCCUUCGAAAGAGGGGCUAAUACCCAAAAGGAUCCGCAAGGAUCAGAGUCCGCAAGGGCCUGGCGAGAGGAGUCUGCGGCCCAUCAGCUAGUUGGUGAGGUAAUGGCUUACCAAGGCUACGACGGGUAGGGGGUCUGAGAGGAUGAUCCCCCACACUGGAACUGAAACACGGUCCAGACGCCUACGGGUGGCAGCAGGGAGGAAUAUUGGACAAUGGGGGAAACCCCGAUCCAGCAACGCCGCGUGAGGGAUGAAGGCCUUCGGGUUGUAAACCUCUUUUCAGGGAGACGAGCAAGGACGGUAUCCCUGGAAUCAGUCACGGCUAACUACGUGCCAGCAGCCGCGGUAAUACGUAGGUGGCGAGCGUUAUCCGGAUUUACUGGGCGUAAAGCGCUUGUAGGCGGCCUUGUAAGUUGGGCGUGAAAGCUCCGGGCUUAACCCGGAGAGGCCGUCCAAUACUGCAGGGCUGGAGGGUGUCAGAGGAAGGUGGAAUUCCUGGUGUAGUGGUGAAAUGCGUAGAUAUCAGGAGGAACACCCGUGGCGAAGGCGGCCUUCUGGGGCAUUCCUGACGCUGAGAAGCGAAAG